UACGUAGGAUCCGAGCGUUGUCCGGAAUUACUGGGCGUAAAGCGUGCGCAGGCGGCCAUGCAAGACAGAUGUGAAAUCCCCGGGCUCAACCUGGGAACUGCAUUUGUGACUGCAUGGCUAGAGUACGGUAGAGGGGGAUGGAAUUCCGCGUGUAGCAGUGAAAUGCGUAGAUAUGCGGAGGAACACCGAUGGCGAAGGCAAUCCCCUGGACCUGUACUGACGCUCAUGCACGAAAGCGUGGGGAGCAAACAGG
rnacentral:rRNA from 1 species